rnacentral:rRNA from 1 species
GGGUGAGUCGGGUCCUAAGGCGAGGCCGACAGGCGUAGUCGAAUGGAUGAACGGGUCGAUAUUCCCGUACCGGCUUUCAGCCGCCAAAACCGAGGCUUGGAGUACUAACCUCCGGGUCCGGGCUUACUGCUCCUUCGGGGGCGGGAUGCCCUGGCCUGUUGGGACCGAUCCUUGUAGUAGGUCAGCGCAGGAGUGACGCAGAAGGGUAGCCGGCCGCGGAGGUGGUCUUCCGUGGUCAAGCACGCAGGGCGUGGGACAGGCAAAUCCGUCCCGCAUGGGUCCGAGGUGCGAUGAUGGGGGCCUUAUGGCCCGAUAUCCGGUGAUCCCGGCUGCCGAGAAAAGCUUCGGCGUCAGGCUCAAAGCCGCCCGUACCCCAAACCGACACUGGUGGUCAGGUAGAGAAUACCAAAGCGAUCGAGCGAAUCCUGGUCAAGGAACUCGGCAAAUCACUCCCGUUCCUUCGGUUUAAGGGAGACCCCCGAUGGUGAACACACUUGCUGUGGGAGCUUUUGGGGGUGGCACAGACCAGGGGGUAGCGACUGUUUACCAAAAACACAGGUGCAUGCGAAGGCGCAAGCCGCUGUAUAUGCACUGACGCCUGCCCGGUGCCGGAAGGUUAAGAGGAUCCGUCAGCCUUCGGGUGAAGCGGUGAAUUCAAGCCCCGGUAAACGGCGGUGGUAACUAUAACCAUCCUAAGGUAGCGAAAUUCCUUGUCGGGUAAGUUCCGACCUGCACGAAUGGCGUAACGACUUCCCCACUGUCUCGACCAGGAGCUCGGCGAAAUUGCAGUACGAGUAAAGAUGCUCGUUAAGCGCAGAAGGACGAAAAGACCCCGGGACCUUUACUAUACCUUGGUAUUGGCGUUAGGCGCGGAUUGUGUAGCAUAGGCGGGAGGCUUCGAAGCAUGGGCGCCAGCCCGUGUGGAGCCGCAAGGUGAAAUACCGCUCUGUUCUCGUUUGACGUCUAACCUCGAACAGUCAUCCUGUUCAGGGACAGUGCCUGGCGGGUAGUUUAACUGGGGCGGUUGCCUCCCAAAGAGUAACGGAGGCGCUCAAAGGUCCGCUCAGCCCGGUUGGCAAUCGGGUUUCGAGUGUAAUCGCACAAGCGGGCUUGACUGCGAGAACGACGGUUCGGGCAGGGACGAAAGUCGGAGAUAGUGAUCCGGUGCCGGCGCACGGGCGCGGCAUCGCUCAACGGAUAAAAGGUACCCCGGGGAUAACAGGCUGAUCAUUCCCAAGAGUCCAUAUCGACGGGAUGGUUUGGCACCUCGAUGUCGGCUCGUCGCAUCCUGGGGCUGGAGCAGGUCCCAAGGGUUCGGCUGUUCGCCGAUCAAAGCGGCACGCGAGCUGGGUUCAGAACGUCGUGAGACAGUUUGGUCUCUAUCCUCUGCGCUCGUUGGAAUCCUGAGGAGGCCUGCCCAUAGUACGAGAGGACCUGGGUGGACGGACCUCUGGUAUGCCGGUUGUCGCGCCAGCGGCAUGGCCGGUUGGCUACGUUCGGGAGGGAUAACCGCUGAAAGCAUCUAAGCGGGAAGCCUGCUCCAAGAUUAGGAUUCCUUGACGCUCCCCGGAGCGCCUGUAGCCCGCAUGUUGAACACGUGUUCGAUAGGCCGGAGGUGGAAGCCCCGCGAGGGGUGGAGCCGACCGGUACUAACGGGCGAACGCGGCACAC